rnacentral:rRNA from 1 species
UACGAAGGGGGCGAGCGUUGUUCGGAUUUACUGGGCGUAAAGGGCGCGCAGGCGGCUUUGUUUGUCAGGCGUGAAAGCCCCGGGCUUAACCUGGGAACUGCGUUUGAUACGGCAGGGCUAGAGUUCGGGAGAGGAGAGUGGAAUUCCUAGUGUAGAGGUGAAAUUCGUAGAUAUUAGGAAGAACACCAGUGGCGAAGGCGGCUCACUGGCCCGGUACUGACGCUGAGGCGCGAAAGCGUGGGGAGCAAACAGG